CACGUAGGGCGUAAGCGUUGUCCGGAAUUAUUGGGCGUAAAGAGCUCGUAGGUGGUUUGUUACGUCUGCUGUGAAAACCUAGGGCUUAACCCUGGGCUUGCAGUGGAUACGGGCAGACUAGAGGUAGGUAGGGGAGAAUGGAAUUCCUGGUGUAGCGGUGAAAUGCGCAGAUAUCAGGAGGAACACCGGUGGCGAAGGCGGUUCUCUGGGCCUUACCUGACGCUGAGGAGCGAAAGCGUGGGGAGCGAACAGG
rnacentral:rRNA from 1 species